rnacentral:rRNA from 1 species
GGCUGUGUCUAUGGAGGAGUGGAAACACCUGUUCCCAUCCCGAACACAGAAGUUAAGCACUCCAUCGGCGAUGGUACUGCACCUACGGUGUGGGAGAGUAGCACGAUGCAGCCU